AUGGAUAAUAAAUAAAAUAAUUUAAUUAAUUUAAUAAAAAUAAAAUAAAAUAAAAAAUAAAAAAUAAUAUUUUAAUAUAUAAAAUAUGUAAUGUGAAAUGAUAUAUUAGUAUUUUUCUAUUACUAAUUAGGCAUGCAAGAGGGCUUUUGCAUUCUUACUUUUCAAAAUGGAGCAGUAUAGGUUCUAUAGAUACGGUGUUUUUUUGGAAGCUGAGCACGGGCUGCCACCAAGCGGAGCUGCGAGCACAAAAAUACGCCAAAAAUCUAUCAGCCAAUUGAACUCCCUUCCCUUCAUUGGGUAGAUAAACGGAAACCCAACAACAACAACAACAACCCUAUAAACCCAAAUAAGCAAAAAGUAUGAAAUCGCUUUUAUUUGACCUCCUCUUGCUGUCUCCUGAGCCUAGCAUUCUCUUUCUGUAAACGGGCAACUUCAAGUUCCAACUCGUUCGUGUAAGCCUGCAAAAAGGAUUCACCACGCAAGAAGGGAACGAUGAAGAAGAGCAUGAGCAUUCGAAAGGAGAGUUCAGGGAAGAAACAAAAGAAGGUGCAGUGAAACCGGCAUGCCUUUGCAAUUGUGGGUUUGACCCAACACCAACCGGAGUACGGACUUCAGGGUAUGGAAAAUCAGAACCGGAAUUCAAGCUCAGAAUAGUUGCUGGAGUUGGCGCCAGAGAACCCAAGAAAGUGGUAUCCACGGCCAAAGAAGGCUCGGUGGCGCCAGAUGAUGACGCGCCUCUUGUUGGUGGCUCUUUGUUGGGAGGCCGAGCCAAGAAGUCUUGGAGAUCAAUCGUAGCACAAAAGGCAGGGUUGUGGGUGGUGGUGGUGGUGGUGGAGGAGAGGGUGUUGCUGGAGUGAUCUUGAAGAGAGGCUAAGCUGAUGUCUUUCCAAACUUCUUCCAUGAAUUUUCUGGCAGGAGGGGUUGGGAGGACUGGUGAAGAAGCUGAAAAGGGCGAGGGACAAGAGCAUGUGGAGGAGGAUUUGGAGGGUGGGCAGGAGUUUCCAUUUCUGCCAUUAUUGUUGAUUUCGCCUGUUGAUGAACCCAUGGUUGGGGGGAGAGGUAGAGAGAGAGAGAUAGACCAGAUGGAGGGAGAGAAAAAUAGUUGGGAACCAGGAAGCGGAGAGGUCUGUGUGUUGACCCUCCUGGCUUGCGGUCCUCGCAUAAAGGUUCUGUUCCCUCUGCUGUCCUAAAACUCGGUCUCAAACUCUAUCUUGCUUUGUCUUGUAACCGACAAAUACUAAACUCACCGAGACUCUUUUUAA